rnacentral:rRNA from 1 species
UACGAAGGGGGCGAGCGUUGUUCGGAAUUACUGGGCGUAAAGGGCGCGUAGGCGGCGACUCAAGUUAGAUGUGAAAGUCCUGGGCUUAACCUGGGGACUGCAUUUGAUACUGGGUUGCUUGAAUUCGGGAGAGGGAUGCGGAAUUCCAGGUGUAGCGGUGAAAUGCGUAGAUAUCUGGAGGAACACCGGUGGCGAAGGCGGCAUCCUGGACCGAUACUGACGCUGAGGAGCGAAAGCCAGGGGAGCAAACGGG